UACGUAGGCAGCGAGCGUUGUUCGGAGUUACUGGGCGUAAAGCGUGCGUAGGCGGUCCCACAAGUCUGUUGUGAAAUCUCCCGGCUCAAUGGGAGGGUGCGGUGGAAACUGUGGGGCUGGAGUGUGGGAGAGGUAGGCGGAAUUCCUGGUGUAGCGGUGAAAUGCGUAGAUAUCAGGAGGAACACCGGUGGCGAAGGCGGCUCUCUGGGCCUUACCUGACGCUGAGGAGCGAAAGCGUGGGUAGCGAACAGG
rnacentral:rRNA from 1 species